UUACUAUGUGCAGAGCACUGUUCUAAGCGCUGGGGUAGAUACAGGGUAAUCAGGUCGUCCCACGUGUGGCUCACGGUUAACCCCCAUUUUACGGAUGAGGUAACUGAGGCCCAGAGAAGUGAAGAGACUUGCCCACAGUCACACAGCUGACCAGUGGCAGAGCCGGGAGUCGAACCCAUGACCUCUGACUCCGAAGCCCAGGCUCUCGCCACUGAGCCACGCUAGAGCCCGGGUUUGGGAGUCAGAGGUCGUGAGUUCUAAUCCCGGCUCUGCCACUAAUCAGCUGUGUGGCUUUGGGCAAAUCACUUCACUUCCACUUCUCUGGGCCUCAGAUACCUCAUCUGGAAAAUGGAGAUGAAGACUGGGAGCCCCACGUGGGACAACCUGAUUACCUUGCAUCUACCCCGGGGCUUAGAACGGUGCUUGGCACAUAGUACGCCCUGAACGGAUGCCAUCAUCAUCAUCAUCAUCAUUAUUAUUAUUAUAGGAAAGUGCCUGUAUCUCUUUAGCUGACCUUGUCUUCCCCUCAGCAGGAAGCGGGCCCAAGGCAGAAACGCAGUCUCGAUUACUCCAAGACAUCCUGCCUUAUGCAUUUCAAGGCCGACUACUUGUUCUACAAGAGGUUUGGGAGCUUGGAAAUGGUGGUGGCUCAGGUGGCCAGCUACGUGAGAGCCGUGAAUGCCAUAUAUGAAAGCACCAACUUUGCCGGGAUCCGACACACAGAAUUCAAAGUGAAAACCUUACACGUGAGAGCAAGGCCUCCCCCCCCCCCCCCCCCCCAACGCCCCCGGGGACAGACAGGGAAACAGGGCAAGAUAAUUAUAAUAAUGAUGGCAUUUGUUAAGCGCUUACUAAGCGCCAAGCAGUGUUCUAAGCCCUGGGGUAGAUAUAAGGUGAUCAGGUUGUCCCACGUGGGGCUCACAGUCUUCAUCCCCAUUUUCCAGAUGAGGGUAACUGAGGCACAGAGAAGUUAAGUGACUUGCCCAAGGUCACACAGCAGACCCGUGAGAUGGGACUUGGAGGGUAGAAGGUAUGGGGGGCGUGGGGUUCUUCCUUUGGGCGGGGGGGGGGGGCCUCUGGAAUCAGCCCCUUCAUGGGGUUGGCAAUAGGGGAAGGGCCAAAAGUGGGGGUUCCUGUCCAUUGCAGUGGAGGAGGAAUUGGGUGAGUGGGGGAGGUCUUUCCUGGUCAUUAAGCUCACUU
rnacentral:lncRNA from 1 species